AGUCCACAUCGACGGGGGGGUUUGGCACCUCGAUGUCGGCUCAUCACAUCCUGGGGCUGUAGUAGGUCCCAAGGGUUGGGCUGUUCGCCCAUUAAAGUGGUACGCGAGCUGGGUUCAGAACGUCGUGGGACAGUUCGGUCCCUAUCCGUCGCAGGCGUAGGAAAUUUGAGAAGACCUGUCCUUAGUACGAGAGGACCGGGAUGGACGUACCUCUGGUGUACCAGUUGU
rnacentral:rRNA from 1 species